AAGCCCCUCGUGUGGCGCUCCAGGAAGCCCCUCGUGCGGCGCUCCACUCCGCCAGCCACCUGGCAGCCGCGGCAGGAACGCUGUGGCUGCACGGAUCUGCUUCCGAGGGGAAGCAGACUCCAAGGUGGAGGGCCUGGCCACGAGUUGUUCAUCGUUCAAGCUGGGCAACAGGGCCCUGCUAUGACGGCAGAGGUACGUCGCUGCGAGAGAAACCACAUGGCUUGCAAAGCCUAGAACAUCUCCUCUCUGACCCUCACGGCAAGGUUUCUGGCUCCUGCUUUGGGACAUUAAAGAAAGGGAGGACCUGGCACGCCCCGCCCCUCCUUCCCACCAGCAGUGAGUCUCCCCUGCACGCUCCACUCCCUGGGGAGCGAGCACUGGCACCUCUGCCUGCGGAAAAGAAGGGAAGUUCUGAAAAAAGACAGGGCUUCUGGCUCAGAGAUCUUUCCACUCACUUCUAGAUCAAGCGUAUCAUCUGGUACUAAAUGCGCCAGCAGCAUGGAAGUAAGGUGCGCAGGUUCUGCUGCAUGCACAGGGGGAGGAGGAUGUCCUAGGACCCUGAACUCUGGAGGGCCCAGUUAAAGACAGGAGGAAGCUCAAAUGAGGCCAGAGUUUGAGCAGACCAGUGCACUUCUAGAGGGGACGUGAGAGGGACCACCGACACCUGAAGAAACCGGGGGUCCUGGCCAACGUCCACCACCUGACUCAGCCAGAGUUAGCUAUUUUACGGACGGUCAAACUGGAAUGACAAGGUCUACCUGCUGGGCCACGAGAAAGGUAAGGGGCACUCUAGGGGCCGGGUGGCCACCCUGAACACCCUACCCAUCCUUACAGCUGCCCGGUCACCUACGUGAGUCACAUGGUCCCUGGAGGGAAGCCACCACACCAAGAGGAGGGGGCACGGCUGUAGGACAGCGGACAGGACAGCCGUCCUGCAACCCCCAGGAUCCUUCCGGGAGCGUCAGCCAAGCUGCUCUCUAGGGCUCUGCGUCUCGGAUCCGGGGGCCGCGACUUUCUGAGCACUGUGUUCCUGUUCGAGCCAGAGAGGCUGUUUCUGCCGCGUGCCUCCUCCCUAAGGGAAGGGCAUCGGCGAAGCCUCCAGGGAAUCAGAGCACACGGCAGGAAGGUGCCACGGUCACGUGCGGACCAGGGAGCUCGCUGCUCUGUGCCCGACUCCGGAGACAGUCAGAGGGAGGGGACGCAGAGACGCACACACCCACGGGCGCCUUCCGGGGGCGCGGCUGUGCGGAGACAGUCGGGCUCGGGGUCUAUGCUCCUGGGGGAGACAGUGUGGGGCCUGCCAAGCCGUCCCACGGGGAGCAGCUGCCCCUCCCCGGGGCAGCGACCUUCCCCCCUGCUGUGCGCGAGGAGGCGCAGCCUAACCCAUGCGGCCUGGCUGGUCCCCACUAACCAGCUCGAAGCUUAGCCAAAGCGUGUCUGAC